rnacentral:tRNA from 2 species
GGAUCUGUAGCUUAAUGGCAGAGCAUCAAUUUGUCGAAUUGGAAGAUGAGGGUUCGAAUCCCUUCAGGUCCG